rnacentral:sRNA from 1 species
GGGAAUUUUUAGGGUUAAAGGAAAUAAUGUCUAUGUAAUAAUUGAUAAACAUUUUCAAAUCUUUUUUAAAAAGUGUGAUAUUUUGAAGUUCUCAUCAAAGAAUGUACAAUCUUAAUUUUUAAAUAUGUUCUGUUGCUCUGAAUUUUGAAAACCAAUAAAAAUCUUUUUAUUUUCAUAAAGCUUUUUUAAAUGUAAGAAGUGAUUAUUACAAUAAUGUUCUGUUUGUGCAGGUGGAUGGAAAACACAGAAAGAAAAAUUCAGUGUUUGAAAGACUUCAAAUUGAUAUUCAACACUUGUGUUUGAACAAGAUUCCUGUGCUAAGAGAAGAAAAACUACCUGUGGUAGGAAUUGGAAAGCAUCUGUGUGGUAUGGCAACAGGUACGUAAACAUACUGAUAAUGUUUACAUUAAUGCAUUAAGUUUUGGCCUAACCUGGCCCCAACCAUUUCAGUGGUCUCUUUUGAAUAGAUAUCUUACGUUUACAACUCAAUAAUCUUUAUAGAGCACUGGCCCUGUGCUUUAUUAGAUGCAUAGCUUUCCUAUUUAUCUGCUCAUUUUGGCCAUUUUGCAGGAUGAAUUAAGAGUUU